rnacentral:rRNA from 1 species
AGAGUUUGAUCCUGGCUCAGAAUCAACGCUGGCGGCGUGCCUAACACAUGCAAGUCGAACGAGAAAGGGUAGCAAUACCUGAGUAAAGUGGCGCACGGGUGAGUAACACGUGACUAACCUACCCUGGAGUGGGGGAUAACUGAGGGAGACCUUAGCUAAUACCGCAUAACACCUACGGGUCAAAGGAGUAAUUCGCUUUGGGAGGGGGUCGCGGCCGAUUAGUUAGUUGGCGGGGUAAUGGCCCACCAAGACGGAUGAUCGGUAUCCGGCCUGAGAGGGCGCACGGACACACUGGAACUGAAACACGGUCCAGGACUCCUACGGGAGGCAGCAGUGGGGAAUUUUGCGCAAUGGGGGAGACCCUGACGCAGCAACGCCGCGUGGAGGAUGAAGUACUUCGGUACGUAAACUCCUUUCGAUCGGGACGAUUAUGACGGUA